rnacentral:sRNA from 1 species
GCUGGCUGUGGUGGUGCACACCUGUAAUCCCAGCGGCUUGGGAGGCUGAGGCAGGAGGAACCUGAGUUCAAAGCCAGCCUCAG